AUACAGCUGACGAGUCCCAAACGGGACGAAAUGACACGCGUCCUCGAU
rfam:Schistosoma mattheei strain Denwood, Zambia genome assembly, scaffold: SMTD_contig0007895